rnacentral:rRNA from 1 species
UACAGAGGGUGCGAGCGUUAAUCGGAAUUACUGGGCGUAAAGCGUGCGUAGACGGUUAUUUAAGUCGGGUGCGAAAGCCCCGGGCUCAACCUGGGAAUUGCAUUCGAUACUGGAUAGCUAGAGUUCGGCAGAGGGAAGCGGAAUUUCGGGUGUAGCGGUGAAAUGCGUAGAUAUCCGAAGGAACAUCAGUGGCGAAAGCGGCUUCCUGGACCAGAACUGACGAUCAGGCACGAAAGCGUGGGGAGCAAACAGG